GUGGGGUGUCAGUGGGCUGACUGUGGUCUGAUAGGGGUGUCAGUGGGCUGACUGUGGUCUGAUAGGGGUGUCAGUGGGCUGACUGUGGUCUGAUAGGGGUGUCACUGGGCUGACUGUGAUCUGAUAGGGGUGUCAGUGGGCUGACUGUGGUCUGAUAGGGGUGUCAGUGGGCUGACUGUGAUCUGAUAGGGGUGUCAGUGGGCUGACUGUGGUCUGAUAGGGGUGUCAGUGGGCUGAAUGUGAUCUGAUCGGGGUGUCAGUGGGCUGAUUGUGAUCUGAUAGGCGCAUCAGUGGGCUGACUGUGGUCUGAUAGGCGCAUCAGUGGGCUGACUGUGGUCUGAUAGGUGUGUCAGUGGGGUGGGGUGUCAGUGGGC
ensembl:lncRNA